rnacentral:sRNA from 1 species
UGCAGUAAAUUUCGUAUUAGCAAGGUAUACGACACACGCAAUUUAUAAUAAAACAUCUAAAGUGACACAAACUGAUAAUCAACAGGAUGUUUCAAAUGAUAGUACAGACGAGGCGGAUACUUCUUCAUGAUGUUUAGCUGACCUGUUGUGUAAAUUAAUCUGUGAGAAUCAGAAACAAUUAGAAUAUCAUCUAGAUAUUGUUUUCCUAUACUGAUUUUGAUAUUUCGAGUCAUUAAAGGUAGUUUGUUAGCAACAAUAUAAAUUUUAGAUUUUGUAAAAGCAUUCAUAGUUUUACAUUAAAAAACCGGACAGAGUAAAAAUCGUUUUGAUUU